GCUGGGUGCAGUGGUGUGUGCCUGUAGUCCCCAGCCACCUGGGAGGCUGAGGCUAGAGGAUCGCUUGAGUCCAGGAGUUCUGGGCUGUAGUGCGCUAUGCCGAUUGGUUGUCCGCACUAAGUUCGAUGUGAAUAUGGUGACCUCCCGGGAGUGGGGGACCACCAGGUUGCCUAAGAAGGGGUGAACCAGCCCAGGUCGGAAACAGAGCAGGUCAAAACUCCCGGGCUGAUCAGUAGUGGGACUGCACCUGUGAAUAGCCACUGCACUCCAGCCUGGGCAACAUAGCAAGACCCUGUCUCU
rnacentral:SRP_RNA from 1 species